rnacentral:rRNA from 1 species
GAAUUUUGGACAAUGGGGGAAACCCUGAUCCAGCCAUGCCGCGUGCGGGAAGAAGGCCUUCGGGUUGUAAACCGCUUUUGGCAGGAACGAAACGGCGCUCGCUAAUACCGAGCGCUAAUGACGGUACCUGCAGAAUAAGCCCCGGCUAACGACGUGCCAGCAGCCGCGGUAAUACGUAGGGUGCGAGCGUUAAUCGGAAAUACUGGGCGUAAAGCGUACGCAGGCGGCUGUGCAAGACAGGUGUGAAAUCCCCGGGCUCAACCUGGGAACUGCACUUGUGACUGCACGGCUAGAGUCCGUAAGAGGGGGGUGGAAUUCCACGUGUAGCAGUGAAAUGCGUAGAGAUGUGGAGGAACACCGAUGGCGAAGGCAGCCCCCUGGGAUGAGACUGACGCUCAGGUACGAAAGCGUGGGGAGCAAACAGG